rnacentral:rRNA from 1 species
UACGUAGGGGGCAAGCGUUGUCCGGAAUCAUUGGGCGUAAAGCGCUUUAAGGCGGUUCGCUAAGUCGGGUGUGAAACCUCCAGGCUCAACCUGGAGACGCCACUCGAUACUGGCGUGACUAGAGUUCGGUAGGGGACCACGGAAUUCCUGGUGUAGCGGUGAAAUGCGCAGAUAUCAGGAGGAACACCAGUGGCGAAGGCGGUGGUCUGGGCCGAUACUGACGCUGUAGAGCGAAAGCGUGGGGAGCGAACAGG